rnacentral:rRNA from 1 species
UACGUAGGGUGCGAGCGUUGUCCGGAAUUAUUGGGCGUAAAGAGCUUGUAGGUGGCUCGUCGCGUCGGGAGUGAAAACCCGCGGCUUAACCGCGGGCCUGCUUUCGAUACGGGCGGGCUAGAGUUCGGCAGGGGAGACUGGAAUUCCUGGUGUAGCGGUGGAAUGCGCAGAUAUCAGGAGGAGCACCGGUGGCGAAGGCGGGUCUCUGGGCCGAUACUGACACUGAGAAGCGAAAGCGUGGGGAGCGAACAGG